GACGAACGCUGGCGGCGUGCUUAACACAUGCAAGUCGAGCGGUAAGGCCCUUUCGGGGGUACACGAGCGGCGAACGGGUGAGUAACACGUGGGUGACCUGCCCUCAGCUCUGGGAUAAGCCUGGGAAACUGGGUCUAAUACUGGAUAUGACUCCACGGUGCAUGUCGUGGGGUGGAAAGCCUUGUGCGGCUGAGGAUGGGCCCGCGGCCUAUCAGCUUGUUGGUGGGGNGAUGGCCUACCAAGGCGACGACGGGUAGCCGGCCUGAGAGGGCGACCGGCCACACUGGGACUGAGACACGGCCCAGACUCCUACGGGAGGCAGCAGUGGGGAAUCUUGCGCAAUGGGCGAAAGCCUGACGCAGCGACGCCGCGUGAGGGAUGACGGCCUGGUGUAACGU
rnacentral:rRNA from 1 species